rnacentral:rRNA from 1 species
AAGUCGAGGGGUAGAGGGUGCUUGCACCCUUGAGACCGGCGCACGGGUGCGUAACGCGUAUGCAACCUACCUAUUGCAGGGGAAUAGCCCAGGGAAACUUGGAUUAAUGCCCCAUAGUCCAUAUUGAGAGCAUUUGAGAUAUGGUAAAGAUUUAUCGGCAAUAGAUGGGCAUGCGUCCCAUUAGCUAGUUGGUAUGGUAACGGCAUACCAAGGCUACGAUGGGUAGGGGCCCUGAGAGGGGGAUCCCCCACACUGGUACUGAGACACGGACCAGACUCCUACGGGAGGCAGCAGUGAGGAAUAUUGGACAAUGGGCGGGAGCCUGAUCCAGCCAUGCCGCGUGCAGGAAGACUGCCCUAUGGGUUGUAAACUGCUUUUUUACGGGAAGAAACACCCCCACGUGUGGGGGCUUGACGGUACCGUACGAAUAAGGACCGGCUAACUCCGUGCCAGCAGCCGCGGUAAUACGGAGGGUCCGAGCGUUAUCCGGAAUCAUUGGGUUUAAAGGGUCCGUAGGCGGGCGUCUAAGUCAGUGGUGAAAUCUCGCGGCUCAACCGUGAAAUUGCCAUUGAUACUGGUCGCCUUGAAUUAGUGUGAAGUGGCUAGAAUAUGUAGUGUAGCGGUGAAAUGCUUAGAUAUUACAUAGAAUACCGAUUGCGAAGGCAGGUCACUAACACUAUAUUGACGCUGAUGGACGAAAGCGUGGGGAGCGAACAGGAUUAGAUACCCUGGUAGUCCACGCCGUAAACGAUGGAUACUAGCUGUCCGGCCUGCAUUGGUAGGCUGGGUGGCCAAGCGAAAGUGAUAAGUAUCCCACCUGGGGAGUACGUUCGCAAGAAUGAAACUCAAAGGAAUUGACGGGGGCCCGCACAAGCGGUGGAGCAUGUGGUUUAAUUCGAUGAUACGCGAGGAACCUUACCAGGGCUUAAAUGUAGUCUGACAGGGGUGGAAACACCCCCUUCUUCGGACAGACUGCAAGGUGCUGCAUGGUUGUCGUCAGCUCGUGCCGUGAGGUGUCAGGUUAAGUCCUAUAACGAGCGCAACCCCUGUCGUUAGUUGCCAGCAUGUAAAGAUGGGAACUCUAACGAGACUGCCGGUGCAAACCGUGAGGAAGGUGGGGAUGACGUCAAAUCAUCACGGCCCUUACGUCCUGGGCCACACACGUGCUACAAUGGCAGGUACAAUGGGCAGCCACGCCGCAAGGCGGAGCGAAUCCACAAAACCUGUCUCAGUUCGGAUCGGGGUCUGCAACUCGACCCCGUGAAGCUGGAAUCGCUAGUAAUCGGAUAUCAGCCAUGAUCCGGUGAAUACGUUCCCGGGCCUUGUACACACCGCCCGUCAAGCCAUGGAAGCUGGAAGCACCUGAAGUCCGUCACCGCGAGGAGCGGCCU